ACGAAGGGGGCUAGCGUUGUUCGGAAUUACUGGGCGUAAAGCGCACGUAGGCGGAUUGUUAAGUCGGGGGUGAAAUCCCGGGGCUCAACUCCGGAACUGCCUUUGAUACUGGCAAUCUAGAGUCCGGAAGAGGUGAGUGGAAUUCCGAGUGUAGAGGUGAAAUUCGUAGAUAUUCGGAGGAACACCAGUGGCGAAGGCGGCUCACUGGUCCGGAACCGACGCUGAGGUGCGAAAGCGUGGGGAGCAAACAGGA
rnacentral:rRNA from 1 species